GUGCUCACUUUGGCAGCACAUAUAGCUAAAAUUGGAACAACACAAAAAUUAACAUAGAUGGCCCUGACACAAAGAUGAUGUGCAAAUUCGUGAAGUGUUCCAUAUUUUU
rnacentral:snRNA from 1 species